rnacentral:rRNA from 1 species
AACGGAGGGUGCGAGCGUUGUCCGGAAUCAUUGGGCGUAAAGCGCGCGUAGGUGGCCAUUUAAGUCCGCUGUGAAAGUCAGAGGCUCAACCUUUGAAAGCCGGUGGAUACUGGAUGGCUAGAGUACGGAAGAGGCGAGUGGAAUUCCUGGUGUAGCGGUGGAAUGCGCAGAUAUCAGGAGGAACACCAAUAGCGAAGGCAGCUCGCUGGGACGUUACUGACGCUGAGACGCGAAAGCGUGGGGAGCAAACAGG